rnacentral:rRNA from 1 species
UACGAAGGUGGCAAGCGUUGUUCGGAUUUACUGGGGCGUACAGGGAGCGUAGGCGGUUGGAUAAGCCCUCCGUGAAAUCUCCAGGCUUAACCUGGAAAGUGCAGAGGGGACUGUUCAGCUAGAGGAUGGGAGAGGAGCGCGGAAUUCCCGGUGUAGCGGUGAAAUGCGUAGAGAUCGGGAGGAAGGCCGGUGGCGAAGGCGGCGCUCUGGAACAUUUCUGACGCUGAGGCUCGAAAGCGUGGGGAGCAAACAGG